rnacentral:rRNA from 1 species
UUAAUACUGGAUAGAUCAAAGAUACUGGAAUGUUCUCUGGUCGAAAACUCCGGUGCCCAAGGAUGGGUCUGCGGCCUAUCAGGUAGUAGUGGGUGUAACGUACCUACUAGCCAGCGACGGGUAAGGGUUGUGAGAGCAAGAGCCCUGAGAUGGAUUCUGAGACAUGAAUCCAGGCCCUACGGGGUGCAGCAGGCGCGAAAACUUUACACUGCGGGAAACCGCGAUAAGGGGACCCCGAGUGCCAGCACCUAGUGCUGGCUGUCCAGCUGUCCAAAUAACAGUUGUUAGCAAGGGCCGGGCAAGACCGGUGCCAGCCGCCGCGGUAACACCGGCGGCCCGAGUGGUAGCCGUUAUUAUUGGGUUUAAAGGGUCCGUAGCCGGCCUGUUAAGUCUCUUGGGAAAUCUGGCGACUCAAUCGUCAGGCGUUCA